CCCGUCUUAGUUCCACCUCCUCAUGAGUAAAUGCGUGGUGGCGGGAAUGAGGCCCAGAGCUCUUCAGGCACCCUGGGCCCAGAGAAGGGGGGCGGAUUGGGUGUUGUUGUUUUAACUCUUUCAUUGGAGCACACGUCCGCUCAUCUUCUGUAAAAAAAAUAAAUAAAUGGCAGGCGCGACAUCUCUCCUUCCUCCUGGGAUGUCGUGCUCACAUAUGGACAAAGGGAAGGAUCUCACGAGCAGAAUAUCACAAGAUCCUCCCUCCUCUCUCCCCUGGUCUAGACAUGCCCUAAGCUUCCAUAUAAUUAUUUCCUAUUGAAAUCAAAAAGACCUUAAAAAUACUUAACUUUGGCUGUACCAUACCCCGUGGCUUUUUUUUAAAAAGCAUGAGAUCAUUUUUCCCCACCUAUUGUCAUUUAUUGUGUAGUCGUGUUCCAUGAGUGUGUAAAACCAGUUUUUCUGUUUGCUUUUUUUCUUAAGAAGAGAGGGGGGAAAGAUUUAAAAGCUCUGCUUUGGGAUCAUAAUUGUUUAUUGGCUUACAGCCAUCAGCAGUAGUACUUUCGGAAUGUACUCAGAUGUACAUCUUAUCAGGCCUUGCUUUAUUGUUUGCCUUGCAGCAAAACAGGCUGUUCUGGUGGCCAUGCAAGACACAUAAUAAUGAUAGGAGGUAAUUUCUUGUAAGGCAUGCCAGUUAUACAGCCUCUCCUUGAAAAGUCUGUGUUAAACAAAAGCCAAACAAAAUACAAAAGAAACCCAAGUCUCUCAAAAACAAUUAUUUUAGUUGCAUUUUUUUUAAAAAAAAAACCCAACAAGAAUGGAGCUUUCACCAUUGUAUUUUUGGACAGAUAUUAUCUGCAUAUUGUUUGAGUUGCAUAGUCUUGCUUUUGGCUUUAUCCAUUGUAUUUCCAGAGGACUCAUACCUAUCUAUAGUUACUUAAGUGCCUGUAGAUAGGAAAAUAGAAGCUAAAGGAACUGUGUAUGUGUUAAGCCUAGAGAAAAGCAGAUCCUAGACAUGCUUUUCUGAGAGUAAGCCCCAUUAAACUCAGUGGAGUUUACUUCUGAGUAGAUAUGCAUCAGAUGGGAACAACCCACCCCUAUGCAGGGCACAGCCGCCCAUAUUCAAAGGAAAAGGAAAUAGUAGACCCCUUGUUUCUCUUACGUGUGCACAAAGCCCAUUAAAAGGAAAGGAAGGUCCCAUCUUCAUCCAGCCCUCCUUGCUACCCAUCCAAGUUGAAGGAGGAUCUGUAGCUCAGUGGUAGGUCACAUCUUUGCAUGCAGAAGAUUUCCGGUUCAAUCCCUACCCUCUAGUUGAAAAAGUAUGGAUAUAUUACAAGUUGGAUUCCUCCUUUUUUUUCUUUGCUUUUUGCUGGCCCUGAUUCGGUUUAACACUAGGCAUACUCAUAAAUUCAGCACAUGAAGUUAACAUGCCCUAACUUAGCUCCCAUUCAUUUCAAUGGCUUUACUCUAAGUAGGACUAAGAUUGAAUACUACACCAUGAUUAGAAGGGAGUUGGGUGGACCCAGUGGUUUUAAACUUUAGGGACAGGUGCCUGCCCUUAAUCCAGAGAAACCAAUGCCUAAGGCUGGAAUUCUAUACACACUUGCCUGAGAGUAAAUUCCAUUGAACUCAAUUGGGCUUGCUUCUGAGUAGAUAUGCAGAGGGCAGCACACUAAACUCCAUUAAAAUCAAUAGGGCAAGCUAGCUGCAAUGAACAAGACCCAUACAGUUCAAUGGGAUUUAAGCACAACCAGCAACAGGUUCAGCUAGAAGCAAAAUAUAGGGUCAAAAUGACUCCCUCUCAAAAUCACUGUUUUAUUCAGUAGUUGAUCUGGCACCCUAAUCUUAAAAAUAGCUGCAUACCUGGCCAAGAAUACCAGCUCAUUGCUCCAGCCUUCCAGUUUAAAGAAAAAAGAUUUUAAAAAUCUUAAGAAAUACUAAUAAUUAAAAAUAAAUCAGGAGGUGCAGGGAGCCUGAUGGGCACCAAGAGAGAUGUAUAUGGGCACCACAUUGGAGACCCCCGUCCUAUAGCAUCAGUGUAAAUCUUAGUUUGGUUUGCGUGUGUUUUGAAAUUGUAUUGGUGUUGGUCAAAAUGGUCUGGGGAGAAAGAAAUGUAAGCAAGCUUUAACAUAACCAAACAAACCAAGUGAAUCCCAUCAGUUCCCUUUCCCCUGUGUUUGCUGUGCACAGUAUCAAACAAAAAGUAGUUGAUAUAACCUGCACUAUCCUAAAUAUUUAUUUGCUGAAGGAACAUGGCUUAGGAAUAGACCAGAGGGACAUUGCAGCAUACAGUAGAAGACACUGUUAGGUAACAGGCUCUCAGGUGUCCAAAUCAGAUGCUUGGAUUAUGACCAGUGAAUUCACCUUUUAUCUGCCAGACGGGCGUGUGAAUUAGCUCCAAGAAAUCUCUUUACAACCCUCCUCAGAAAGGUGAAGAGUCUGGCAGAAAAUACACUGUUCGCACCAAUCUUGUGUUUCCUGUAGCCACCUUGUUUAUUUUUCCCAGGGUAGAGUAGGAUGUCAGUAUUGGGUUUCCAUGUCGGUAUUGGGUUUCCACCUCUAAAAGUACAGAAGAGGCUUGGAUUGGCCAAUCUAGUUGUCAACCAUUGGAACAAAGUCUUAAUUUGUCUUCUUUUUUGGUUUAGAUUCUCCUCUCAUAUUUCACCUUGCUUCUAAUUCACUUCCACCCUUCCAGUUGAUAUUUGAACUGCCAUGUUAGGGCACUUGUCCUGUAGCUGUCUGGUAGCGAAAGAAGGCUCUAAUGUUUACUUCCUUCCCAUUAUUGUCCAAAAUGUGAACUUUAUGUAGAUUGUUUGAAUGGUAGUAGACGUUGAUGGUAUUGUUAGGUAAGAGUUGCUGCCAUUUGGCUUCUCCUUACUGACUUUUGUGUCUCUGUUGGCACCAAAGUGUGUUCCCUUCUCGUCUUGUGCUGCUGGGUUUGCAGCUAUCUCCAUGUUCAGAUGACCUACAGUUCUUUGAUGUUUAUUCUUGUGCCUUCAGAUCCUUUGUUUCCAUCCAAAUUGUCCUCACGGAUUGUGAAGUGAUGUCCAUUAAGGAAUCUUCUCUCAUUUUGUGGGUUGUUCAUUAUGUGUCAGAAGAAAAUAGGGAAUAAACAAACGAGGGAAAACCUUCAUAUUUAGAUGGACUUGAAGCUCAUGAGAAAAGAUCUGGAUACAUCUUUUCCCCACACUACACACACACACGCUUUUCAUUUACAACAAAUAGUGGAUGAAGCCACACAUGGGAAAAAGACAUAGACAAAAGCAAUGGAAGCUUUCUACUCCGUGAAGAAACUGUGAGAUCCGUCUUAACGUUCUGCAACUGCUUUCAGCUGAGGAAUUCAACUCACCUCGCCUCCCAGCUGACUUAACGCCUCUAAUUAUAGUGUUUCCAAUACAUAUAGAUAGAUAUUUUUUAAAAAACUGAAUAUUUGAAAAAAGGUAAGGCUUCCAGCAGAGCACGUAAGUGGACAGAGCUGUUAUUAGACUGCAGCUACGGUACAGUUCUUUUAAAAGAUAUAUAGAUAAUAUAUCAUUGAAAGUUUGUUUUUAAUGGGACUAAUAGUGAAUACAAUACAAUGGGCACAUGAACCUGCUGAAAUGUAUUUGCAGUCAAGCAAUGUGCCCUCUGUCGUCCCCGUCCCCCCAAAGGUCCAUAACACCAGCACAUGUCAUAUUAGGAAGUAUUGUUUAUUUUUAAAGAUUUGAUUAGGGCAGAAUCUAAGCAGCUUUAACUGGCUAGUUUUAUUUUAUUGGUGUCCUUGACAAAGGCCUUUUCAGGGUGAUCUCAAACAAGCUCUAAAAUAGGUGGGCAGCUUGUGGCCUUCCAGAUGUUUAGGCCAACAACUCCCAAGCAUCCCUCACCAUUGUUUAUGCUGUCUAGGACUGAUGGGGAGUUGUAGAUCUCAAUAUAUGGAGGGUCACAAGUUGCCCACCCCUGCUCUCAAAACAACCUGUCUGCUCUAUCAGCCGGCUGUUUCUGCCCAAAAAACAAUAGCAUCCCAGGACCUGGAAGACGUUUUUGAUGAUUAUCCAAAUAGGAUGAAGUUUUCACCCUAUAAAAUACAACCCAUUAAAUAUUAUAUUGAAAUGGUAUAAAUUGAUUGUCGAGUAAUGAAAAAUCCCUGCCAAAUGAACAAAAGAAUUUAAAUUUGAAGUGAGAUGGAGUGAAACUAUUUCUAAAUACUACGGUUUCGAUCUGUAUACUGUACUACCCCCAGGGAAUUGAAUAUCUGGAGAUUAUUUUAUCCUCUUCUCUAUGUAGUAGAUUGGGCUGAGCUCCAACUCAUCUAGUGAGUUCCAUGACCAAAAGAGGGACAUUAAGUCAGGUCUGUCCAGGCCAACCUCCUCCUCAUCUUUCUACCCGUAAUACUUUUCAUCAUGUUUUUCUGUUUUUGCUGGAGGUUUGGUGACUGGUUUUUGAUGCUCAUUGACUUCACAUGGUAGGAUGGCAAUAGUAUUUAUUAUUUAU